rnacentral:lncRNA from 1 species
GGCGUAGGCUAGCCCUUUAAGGCCCCCUACCUUCUUGGCUUCUUGCUUCAUUGUUAGUUGAAUCACGAUCUAUGGUUGAAUUGAAUCAUGAGGUUCUGAGAGAAAGAGUCGCCAUUUUUAGACCUUUCUAUUUUUGAGGUUUUGAAUUUUAAUGUUGGCUUAAUUAGCUGGAUUGCCACUUGAGGCAUUUCUUAGAAUGUGAUGGGUUCUAGUUGGUUUGGGUUGGCGGUUCGUGAGCUUGCUAUUAUUCUUGACUAAUUUUGAUGCUGAAAGACUUGGAAACGAUGCUGUCGACCACGUCGAGAAGCUGAGUAACAUUCUGCUUUUACAAUGGCACCUCUUAAUAAAAGGAACUUAAAAGCCAUCCAAUCUAGGGCUUCCAUCAAAUCGUGCAGGCUGCAUGCCAUGGAAGUCGCAUUUAACUUUGCUAUGAACAUCAUGAACACAUACACUAUUUGAAGUUUUGACAUUUUGGGAUUUCGUCAAGUCAACAGCUAUUUCCUUCAGGGUUGUGUUCUGUUAUGGAUUAUUUAAAGGGGAG